rfam:Granulicella tundricola MP5ACTX9, complete genome.
CCCAGGGCUUUCGCCCUGGGCUGGUAUAGGCCGCGCCUUCAGCGCU